ACGGGUGAGUAACGCGUGGGAACGUGCCCUCUGGUUCGGAAUGACUCAGGGAAACUUGAGCUAAUACCGGAUACGCCCUUUUGGGGAAAGGCUUGCUGCCGGAGGAUCGGCCCGCGUCUGAUUAGCUAGUUGGUGAGGUAACGGCUCACCAAGGCGACGAUCAGUAGCUGGUCUGAGAGGAUGAUCAGCCACACUGGGACUGAGACACGGCCCAGACUCCUACGGGAGGCAGCAGUGGGGAAUAUUGGACAAUGGGCGCAAGCCUGAUCCAGCCAUGCCGCGUGAGUGAUGAAGGCCUUAGGGUUGUAAAGCUCUUUUAUCCGGGACGAUAAUGACGGUACCGGAGGAAUAAGCCCCGGCUAACUUCGUGCCAGCAGCCGCGGUAAUACGAAGGGGGCUAGCGUUGCUCGGAAUCACUGGGCGUAAAGGGCGCGUAGGCGGCGUUUUAAGUCGGGGGUGAAAGCCUGUGGCUCAACCACAGAAUGGCCUUCGAUACUGGGACGCUUGAGUAUGGUAGAGGUUGGUGGAACUGCGAGUGUAGAGGUGAAAUUCGUAGA
rnacentral:rRNA from 1 species